UGCUUCCGGAAUAAGAUCGAGAAGUACGACCUGCCCGGUGACGUAAAAGUUAAACGGCUGCAGUAUCUUGACUGUGCAAAGGUAGCAUAAUCAUUUGCCUAGUAAUUUUAGGCUAGUAUCAACGGUUAGACGAAAGAAAAGCUGUCUCCCUUUAAUUUAAUCGAAAUUAAUUUUGAAGUGAAGAAGCUUCAAUGAGAAAGUGGGACGAGAAGACCCUAUUGAGCUUUAAUCUAAUUAAUUUUGUAAUUAUUAAGAGGAUUUUGAUUGGGGCAAUCCUUUUUAUAAUAAAACAAAAGUAAUAUAUAGAAAUGAAUUAAUACUAAUUAGACCCUAAAAUUUUUAGGAAGGAGAAAAAGUUACCAUAGGGAUAACAGCGUUAUUUUUCUUGAGAGUACAUAUUGACAGAGAAGUUUGCGACCUCGAUGUUGGAUUAGGAUUUCCUAGAUGUGCAGCAGCUUCUAACGGUUGGUUUGUUCAACCAUAAAAAUCCU
rnacentral:rRNA from 1 species